GGCAGGGCCGGCACUGAGAGUAGCACCCGGCAUGCGGGAGUGCCUGGCCUCCUCAAAGCCGUUUGGUUUCGGUUGUGAAGUGAGCUCCAGCUGGGAUGCGGCGUAUGAGAGAGAGCUGCAAGCUUUUCAGGAGACGGGAGACGCUGGGGAAAUUUGGUUUGGAGAAGAAAGCAUGGUUCGCAUAAUCAGAUGGUUGGAGAAACAAAAGGUGCCCCUUGACAGCUCUGUGCUUGACAUUGGAACUGGGAAUGGUGUUUUACUGGUUGAAUUGGCAAAAAAUGGCUUCACUAACCUCACUGGGAUUGAUUACUCACCUUCUGCAAUACAACUUUCAGAAAAAGUAAGGGAGAAAGAAGGUGUGUCUAACAUUAAAUUACUGGUAGAAGACUUCCUGGCUCCAUCAGCCGAGCUGUUGGGAUUUCAGAUCUGUAUUGACAAGGGGACUUUUGAUGCCGUGAGCCUUAAUCCUGACAAUGCAGUUGGAAAGAGGAAGCAGUACGUGAGAUCUCUCUGCAGUGUAUUGAAGCCAGAGGGCUUUUUCCUCAUAACAUCUUGCAACUGGACCAAGGAGGAGCUGCUGAAUGAGUUCAGAGAAGGGUUUGAAAUUGUGGAGGAGCUGCCAACACCCAAGUUCUGCUUUGGAGGAAGAAUUGGAAACAGCGUAACAGCACUGGUUUUCCAAAGAAAAAAGUGAGACCAUCCAUCUUGGACAAAUUAGAUUAGCUGAGAAAAGUCUGAACUUUAAAAACGAUUUCAUAACAGAGCUUUCAGAUGUUUGGGAUUUCAGUCCUUGCCAGCGUGACACCUCCCUGCUCUUCCUGGCACAUGUCUCACCACGUGGAUCUUAGCUGUGGGUCUCGGGGGAGCAAACACAGUGUGCAGACAGCGCUGUGUUGCAGAGAUUGACCUUAGGACACCUGUGUAGGGUCAAAGGCCUGAGUGGAGAAUUGAAGCGACGACUCCUCUCACUUACAGCAGCAGGCCUCACUGUCCAGGUGCGUGGGGUGUGUGAUGCCCAUGAGGCUGAGAAGUGGGGCUGACAUUCAUCCUGGCAGCAUCUCUUUUCAUAAGGAUGAGUUCUUGACUAGCUUUUCUGCUGCAUUAAGCACAGUGUGCUUUUCUUCGUUGCUGAUACUGGCUGCUGUGUGUUCCCAUGUUCCAGGAAUGCACUGGCAGCAUUGUAGCCAUUGUAAGGAAAAUCCAUGUACAUACGCUCUGCUAUGUCCGUGCUGCUGGGUUCCAGGGUGCCUGGUAAAAGCUGCCAACAUUCGUGUUAUUUCAUACCAGAGGAAAACUGUGAUCAUGGUAUUUAGCAACAUACAGCAAAAAAUUCUCAGUGCUUUGGCACUCAGCUGGCUUUCUGAAUCUUGGCACACUGAAAGGUAAAGAUCGUGCCUCGGGAACUGUUUUAUUUGUAUGGACCCAUUAAGCAUUUUAACAUAUGGAUCGUCUCCUGUAAAAUACAUGAGGAAAACGUACAAAAUAAACAGACCAGAGCUUUGCACUGCCA